rnacentral:tRNA from 1 species
AGGGAGACAACAAAAUGUUUAAUAUUAUUAUUUUGUCACCUUAGGUCGAUCGGUAUCUCACGUUCUUAAUUUGUUAAGAAUUUCAUUUCCUAAGUUUUUCUAGGUCACACCCAUUAUUUUUCCUGGGCCAUUAGCUCAGGUGGUUAGAGCGCACCCCUGAUAAGGGUGAGGUCCCUGGUUCAAGUCCAGGAUGGCCCAUAUCUCUAUGUUGGGGGUAUAGCUCAGUUGGUAGAGCGCCUGCUUUGCAAGCAGGAUGUCAGCGGUUCGAGUCCGCUUACCUCCACUGAUUACCACCUCUUUCAUAACUGGUAGAAAGGAAAUGUUUUGAGUUGUGAUUAUUAUUCUGAACGAAUCUAGCUUCCUAAUGAAAUCAUUAAGAUGCUGGACUCAUUGAAUUAAUUUCAUUGUUUUCAGAGAACCUUGACAACUGCAUAGAUUUUUUUAAAGACAAUAAGCAUCUUUAAUGAUGCAGAUUUAUUAUUUGUGCGAAUGCAUUAAUAACAAUUCUAUUAAGCUGAUGCUUCAAUUUUUGAAGUUAUU